UACGUAGGGUGCGAGCGUUGUCCGGAAUUAUUGGGCGUAAAGAGCUCGUAGGCGGUCUGUCGCGUCGAUCGUGAAAACUUGGGGCUUAACCCUGAGCUUGCGGUCGAUACGGGCAUGACUGGAGUUCGGCAGGGGAGACUGGAAUUCCUGGUGUAGCGGUGAAAUGCGCAGAUAUCAGGAGGAACACCGGUGGCGAAGGCGGGUCUCUGGGCCACUACUGACGCUGAGAAGCGAAAGCGUGGGGAGCAAACAGG
rnacentral:rRNA from 1 species